CUGAGUUAGGGUCUUCUCUGGCCCGACCUCCAACCCUGUGUCUACCUUACCACGUUGCUUCGGCGGGCCUGCCGACAGGAUCUGUCGGCUGCCGGUGGGCUCAACCCCCGCUGGACAGUGCCCGUCGAUGGCCAACCUCCAAAACUCUUGAAGAACCAUGUCGUCUGAGUACCAAACUAAAUAAAGUAA
rnacentral:misc_RNA from 1 species